rnacentral:misc_RNA from 1 species
GAAAUGCGAUACGUAAUGUGAAUUGCAGAAUUCAGUGAAUCAUCGAAUCUUUGAACGCACCUUGCACUCUUUGGUAUUCCGAAGAGUAUGUCUGUUUGAGUGUCAUGAAACUCUCAACCCCCUUGUUUUGUAAUGGAACGAGUUGUGGGCUUGGAUUAUGGCUGCUGCCGGCUCCUCACGGAGUCGACUCGGCUGAAAUACACGAGCUACCCGAUGAAUUCUCUCUAAACCAGAAGAAACAAACGGCUUGACUCGGCGUAAUAACAUAUUUCGCUGAGGACGUUACAUUCUUCACAUUGGUAUUGAUGAAAAAGUGGUGCUUCUAAUGCGUCUGUUCAGUCAGACAACUUUAGCUUUAGACCUCAAAUCAGUCAGGACUACCCGCUGAACUUAA